rnacentral:rRNA from 1 species
GGGGAAUAUUGCACAAUGGGCGCAAGCCUGAUGCAGCCAUGCCGCGUGUGUGAAGAAGGCCUUCGGGUUGUAAAGCACUUUCAGCGGGGAGGAAGGCGGCGAGGUUAAUAACCUCAUCGAUUGACGUUACCCGCAGAAGAAGCACCGGCUAACUCCGUGCCAGCAGCCGCGGUAAUACGGAGGGUGCAAGCGUUAAUCGGAAUUACUGGGCGUAAAGCGCACGCAGGCGGUCUGUCAAGUCGGAUGUGAAAUCCCCGGGCUCAACCUGGGAACUGCAUUCGAAACUGGCAGGCUAGAGUCUUGUAGAGGGGGGUAGAAUUCCAGGUGUAGCGGUGAAAUGCGUAGAGAUCUGGAGGAAUACCGGUGGCGAAGGCGGCCCCCUGGACAAAGACUGACGCUCAGGUGCGAAAGCGUGGGGAGCAAAC